AUCUAGCUGACGAGUCCCAAAUAGGAUGAGACGAGCGUCCUGGGU
rnacentral:hammerhead_ribozyme from 1 species